GACGAACGCUGGCGGCGUGCUUAACACAUGCAAGUCGAACGGAAAGGCCUGCUUUCCCUUGUGGAGUGCGGGUACUCGAGUGGCGAACGGGUGAGUAACACGUGAGUGAUCUGCCCCCAACUUGGGUAUAAGCCUGGGAAACUGGGUCUAAUUCCCGAUAGGACUGCAGGGUGGUGCCGGUGGUGGAACACGAUUUUCUAGUGGUUGGGGAUGAGCUCGCGGCCUUUCAGCUUGUUGGUGGGGGAAUGGCCUACCAAGGCGGCGACGGGUAGCCGGGCUGAGAGGGUCGACCGGGACAUUGGGACUGGGCAACGGCCCAGACGCCGACGGGCGGCAGCGGUGGCGAAGAUUGGACACUGGGCGGAAGACUGAUGCAGCGACGCAGGGCGGGGGAUGCCGGCCCUCGGGUGGUAAGCUCCUUUCGACCGCGAGGAAGCCACCUGGUUGGAAGGGUGGUGACGGUAGUGGUAGAAGAAGCACCGGCUAACUCCGUG
rnacentral:rRNA from 1 species